GGGCAGGUAGCUCAGUUGGUACGAGCGUCCGCCUGAAAAGCGGAAGGUCGGCGGUUCGAACCCGCCCCUGCCCACCA
rnacentral:tRNA from 1 species